ACGCACGCUGGCGGCGUGCCUCAUCCAUGCCGGUAGAACGCUGAAGAGAGGAGCUUGCUCUUCUUGGAUGAGUUGCGAACGGGUGAGUAACGCGUAGGUAACCUGCCUUGUAGCGGGGGAUAACUAUUGGAAACGAUAGCUAAUACCGCAUAACAAUGGAUGACACAUGUCAUUUAUUUGAAAGGGGCAAUUGCUCCACUACAAGAUGGACCUGCGUUGUAUUAGCUAGUAGGUGAGGUAAUGGCUCACCUAGGCGACGAUACAUAGCCGACCUGAGAGGGUGAUCGGCCACCCUGGGACUGAGACACGGCCCAGACUCCUACGGGAGGCAGCAGUAGGGAAUCUUCGGCAAUGGGGGCAACCCUGACCGAGCAACGCCGCGUGAGUGAAGAAGGUUUUCGGAUCGUAAAGCUCUGUUGUAAGUCAAGAACGGGUGUGAGAGUGGAAAGUUCACACUGUGACGGUAGCUUACCAGAAAGGGACGGCUAACUACGUG
rnacentral:rRNA from 1 species